GACACCGAAUGUUGGACAACCUACGUGGAAAGGUUUCCCAUGAAGCACUUGAUUUGCUGGAAAAAGAGCUACUGAGGAAGAUGGAUGUGUUGCGGAAACUUAACGCAUCAUGUGGUUGCCAUAUGUGGCUUAGCAAAGGAUUGCCGUGUGCUUGUAGACUGGAAAACUACAACCGUACAGGGCGUAUAAUACAACUCGACGAGAUAGAUGUAUUCUGGCGUAAGCUUGACUUGCUCCCUUGUAAACUGGUAGACGAGGAAGUCGAUAUUGUAGCAGAGCUCAAUAAUGUGCGGCAACAUUUAGAGGCGCAGUCCCCCGU
rnacentral:lncRNA from 1 species